rnacentral:rRNA from 1 species
GAUGAACGCUGGCGGCGUGCCUAAUACAUGCAAGUCGAGCGAAUGGAUUAAGAGCUUGCUCUUAUGAAGUUAGCGGCGGACGGGUGAGUAACACGUGGGUAACCUGCCCAUAAGACUGGGAUAACUCCGGGAAACCGGGGAUAAUACCGGAUAACAUUUUGAACCGCAUGGUUCGAAAUUGAAAGGCGGCUUCGGCUGUCACUUAUGGAUGGAACCGCGUCGCAUUAGCUAGUUGGUUGGGUAGCGGCUCACCAAGGCAACGAUGCGUAGCCGACCUGAGAGGGUGAUCGACCACACUGGGACUGAGACACGGCCCAGACUCCUACGGGAGGCAGCAGUAGGGAAUCUUCCGCAAUGGACGAAAGUCUGACGGGGCAACGCCGCGUGAGUGAUGAGGGCUUUCGGGUCGUAAAACUCUGUUGUUAGGGAAGAACAAGUGCUAGUUGAAUAAGCUGGCACCUUGACGGUACCUAACCAGAAAGCCACGGCUAACUACGUGCCAGCCGCCGCCGUAA